UGUAUAAGUAUAAACGCUCUAUGCGUGAAACCGCGAACGGCUCAUUACAACAGCUAUAAUUUACUUGAUCUUGACAAACCAUACUUGGAUAACUGUGGUAAUUCUAGAGCUAAUACAUGCACCAAAGCUCUGUGCCGCAAGGCAAGAGCGCAUUUAUUAGAACAAAACCAAGCGGCUUCGGCCGUCCAUUGUUGACUCAGAAUAACUUAGCUGAUCGCAUGGUCUUGUACCGGCGACGUGUCUUUCAAGUGUCUGCCUUAUCAACUUUCGAUGGUAGUGUAUUUGACUACCAUGGUGGUGACGGGUAACGGAGGAUAAGGGUUCGACUCCGGAGAAGGGGCCUGAGAAAUGGCCACUACGUCUAAGGAUGGCAGCAGGCGCGCAAAUUACCCACUCUCAGCAUCGAGGAGGUAGUGACGAGAAAUAACGAGACCGUUCUCUUCAGAGGCCGGUCAUCGGAAUGGGUACAAUUUAAACCCUUUAACGAGUAUCUAUGAGAGGGCAAGUCUGGUGCCAGCAGCCGCGGUAAUUCCAGCUCUCAAAAUGCAUAGAAUCAUUGCUGCGGUUAAAAAGCUCGUAGUUGGAUCUGUGCUGGCGCUCCGGUCCAUCUUCGGAUGCGCACUGGUUGUCGCCGGCUUUUCUGCAGUGUUCCGGUGCCGUGCCCUUCAUCGGGUGCGUGCACAGGCUCUGCAAGUUUACUUUGAACAAAUCAGAGUGCUUCAAACAGGCGUUUGCUUGAAUGUUCGUGCAUGGAAUAAUAGAAGAGGAUUUCGGUUCUAUUUUAUUGGUUUUAUAGACUGAGAUA
rnacentral:rRNA from 1 species